GGUCCUCCAGGGGGUGAGGUGGUGAGGAUGGUCCUCCAGGGGGUGAGGAUGGUCCUCCAGGAGGAGAAAAUGGUCCUCCAAGAGGUGAAGAUGGUCAUCCUGGGGGUGAAAAGGGGAGGAUGGUCCUCCAGGGGUUGAAAAGGGGAGGAUGGUCCUCCAAGGGGUGAAGAUGGUCCUCCAGGGGGUGAAAAGGGGAGGAUGGUCCUCCAGGAGGAGAAAAUGGUCCUCCAGGGGAUGAGGAAGUGAAGAUGGUCCUCCAGGAGGUGAAGAUGGUCCUCCAGGGGGUGAGGAUGGUCCUCCAGGAGUAGUUCGAGUGUUGGUAGAGUGGGGGGUCCUCCAGGAGGGGAGGAUGGGCCUCCAGGGGGUGAGGAUGGUCCUCCAGGAGGUCAGAAUGGUCCUCCGGGGGGUGAAAAGGGGAGGAUGGUCCUGCAGGAGGAGAGGAGGUGAGGAUGGUCCUCCAGGAGGAGAGGAUGGUCAUCCUGGGGGUGAAAAGGGGAGGAUGGUCCUCCAGGAGGAGAAAAUGGUCCUCCAGGGGAUGAGGAAGUGAAGAUGGUCCUCCAGGAGGGGAAGAGGUGAGGAUGGUCCUCCAGGAGGGGAGGAUGGGCCUCCAGGGGGUGAAGAUGGUCCUCCUGGGGGUGAAAAGAGGAGGAUGGUCCUCCAGGGGGUGAAGUUGGUCCUCCAGGAGGUGUGGAGGUGACGAUGGUCCUCCAGGAGGUGAAGUUGGUCCUCCAGGAGGUGAGGAUGGUCCUCCAGGAGGGGAAGAUGGUCCUCCAAGGGGUGAGGAUGGUCCUCCAAGGGAUGAGGAUGGUCCUCCAGGGGGUGAAGUUGGUCCUCCAGGAAGGGAAGUUGGUCCUCCAGGAGGUGAAGUUGGUCCUCCAGGAGGUGAAGUUGGUCCUCCAGGAGGAGAAAAUGGACCUCCAAGGGGUGAGGAUGGUCCUCCAGGAGGUGAACUUGGUCCUCCAGGCGGGCUUUCCUGCCUGUCGGCGGUGUUGGGAGGUCCUCCAGCAUCUCCCAUCCGCCUGCUGGCCGGAUUUUGGGGGGUCCCUCCACCCACCUGAGGUCGCCCCCCUUUUCUGCCCCACAGAACAGUGCACCAGCC